rnacentral:lncRNA from 1 species
UUCCUUUCUCUCAUCCCGAUAGUAUUUUGCUAUAUGACCGACCUUACCACAACAAUAACAUUUGACCGAUCUGCACUCAUUUGCAUAGUGGUCAUGCUUGCCACACUUAAUACAUUCAACAUCAGAAUUACUUGACCGACCUCCUCGGUCUCUCCUUUGUCCACAACCACACCAGUUCUACAACUGGUUUGCUCCUUGUCGUCUUUAUAAUCACUUCGGACACGACUUCCUCGUCCUUGGCUGCUUCCUUCAAUACCACCUCGGCCUUGAGUGUUCCAAGCUCUUCCCUUCAUGUCAAGCUUGGCCUAAAGUGCUUGAUCAAGUGGCUUAAACAUCAUCCUUCUCCGUUGCUUGUUUGCCUCGAGGGACCUGGCAAGCUCUUCAACUAAGAGCAAUGUCAAAUCCUUGGAUUCCUCGAUGGUGCAUAUUAUACUCUCAAAGUCCUUAGUCAACGACCUUAAGACCUUCUCCACAAUCCUGCUGGCCGGAAACUCCUCUCGGUUUCUGUCGAGAUGAUUUGCUAUCACCUCCAUCCAAGACAUAUACUUAGUCACUCGUUCUCUUUCCUCCAUUCUCAUGCUUUCAAACUCACCUCUAAUAGUUUGAAGUCUAAGAUGCCUAGCACGGUUAUUGCCUUUGUAAACUUUCUCUAGAAUCUGUCACGCUAUCUUCUCAAAACUAGAUUCGUCCACAACUUGUUACAGUAUAUACAAAGCUGAUUGAUCUUUCACACGCAAUCAUUUCAACACAACAACUUGGGCAACCGUAUGCUCCUCAUUUUUUGUUGGCUCUUCAUAUCCAUUAUGAACUACAUCCCACACAUCUUGGGAUCCAAGAAAGGCUCUCAUCUACACAUUCCAAUUAUUAAAGUUGACUUUCUUUGUUAACCGAGGCAAUGCCACACUUUUUGCUAGGUUGGCCAUCUCUCACUCUCUCAAAUACUCUUUUUUUUUCACUCGAACACUCCGGUUAUCAGUUCUAAUGCCAAUUUGUUAGAAAAUGACACUCACUUAGAUAUUUUUGAAUACGUUUCUAGUGUAUUUUCAUUUUACAUAAACCUUACAAUUUAUAGAAUUAACAUUAGACCUUUCAUCUACAUACCAUAAUGUCUCCAAUUAUUACAAAUCAAACACUAUAAUGACUACAAAACAUAACAAAGUAACUUCCUGACUCUUCCUCUCCUAGUGCAAUAACCACUACCACUCUCAAUAAUGAUAUGAUAACUCCUAAGUUUAAGUUUAUUCCUACAUCAUGGUCUAAAUCCACUCCAAUGGUCCUUAUUUCUAAUUACAAGAUGAGUUUCAAGUCAAAAGAAUAUCUAUUAUAGACUAAAUAUGGAUAUAAUACCGACCUGAAGCUUGACAGGGCUGGCAUAGACUUUGUCAGAAUUCAUUUCAGUCAGCGUAGUAACUAACGGAAACUUGUUGUAGUCUACAAACUCCAAUAUCUUAUUC